GAUGAACGCUGGCGGGGGGCCUAUUACAGGCAAGUGGGGGGAAGGGAGGGAAAGUUGGCUUCCUGAUGUUAGGGGGGGGAGGGGUGGGAAACAGGUGGAAACCUACCUAUAAGGAUGGGGUAAAUUUGGGAAACCGGGAGUAAAAACGGGUAAAAUUUUGAAACGGAAGGGUUAAAAGGGGAAAACGGUUCUGGUGGCAACUAUAGGUGGAUCCGCGCUGCAUUAGCUAGUUGGUAAGGUAACGGCUUACCAAGGCAACGAUGCAUAGCCGACCUGAGAGGGUGAUCGGCCACACUGGAACUGAGACACGGUCCAGACUCCUACGGGAGGCAGCAGUAGGGAAUCUUCCGCAAUGGGCGAAAGCCUGACGGAGCAACGCCGCGUGAGUGAUGAAGGUCUUCGGAUCGUAAAACUCUGUUAUUAGGGAAGAACAUAUGUGUAAGUAACUGUGCACAUCUUGACGGUACCUAAUCAGAAAGCCACGGCUAACUACGUG
rnacentral:rRNA from 1 species